UUAAAAAAUGAAAAGUUGUUCGGUGGACACGCCCACUAACGAUACUGCGUGUUAUUGUUUGCAUUCGGGUGUUUGUGAACUUUAUCUUGCUAUCUUAAUUACAUAAAAUAUGAACGUUAUCGAGUCACAUCAACGUUAGAAAAGGCCAUAAACUGUAUGCACCAAACUAUUUCGACUGUGGAAAGAAAAGCAUUGCCAUGGCUAACAAGCUAGCCAACUGGUUAGCUAACUUCAGUGAUUAAAAACAUGGUCUAUGAAAAGUACGACCACCAACAUGAUGGACAUGUUUGAGUAAGGGAAGUUCUGAAAAUCUGUGCUCCUAUGGUCCGGUAAUCAAAGUUGGCAUUCUGGUCACUGGUGAGGAAAUCUGACUGUGACAUUUGCUUCACUCCAAUGAUAGUUGCUCCUGACUGUAUGUGUUCUGUCAACGCCAGAAGAAGGGGAAUUUACAAACAAUGAAGCUGACCAUCCUCUGAUCGUGCAGUUUGCUGCCAGUGAUGCCCAGACCCUGGCUGAUGCAGCCUGUGUGGUCUCACCCUUCUCUGAUGGAGUGGACCUCAACUGUGGCUGUCCCCAGCGGUGGGCCAUGUCAGAUGGCUACGGAGCAUGCCUUCUCAACAAACCUGAGCCUGUCAAAGACAUGGUUUGACAUGUCAGGAACCAAGUAGACAAUCCUAACUACACAGCCUCCAUCAAAAUAAGAAUUCACAAGGACCUGUGAUGUACGGUGGACCUGUGUCAGAAGGCAGAGGUGGCAGGGGUGUCCUGGAUAACGGUCCAUGGUCGGACCGCCACCAGCGGUCCACUUUGACGCUAUCAAGACCAUCAAGGACAGCCUGCCAGUCCCUGUCAUCGUCAACUCACUUGAGUUGAUGGUCAGUGUGAUGGUAGGCCGGGGGCUGUUGUCCAACCCGGCCAUGUUCGCUGGCUACAAUAAGACCCCUCUUGAGUGUGUGUGGGACUGGGUGGACCUCGCCACAAACCAGGGGACCCCCUUCACCUGCUUCCACCAGCACCUCAUCUACAUGCUGGAGAGGGUCAGCUCCCAGCCCGAGAGGAAGGUGAUCAACUCCCUGCAAAUCAGCGCCGCACAAAAAAGGAUCGUAAAAACAACUGUCUCCAAAUUUAAGUUUGCCUUUCAUCCUCCAGUUUCUUUGUUCGGGUGCCGUAAAACUGUAUUGUUAGAGAUGACGUUGCAAUGGACUGCAGUUGCCCUCUUCCUCUAUGUGGAAAUAGGUGUACUCCUCAUCCUCUGUCUACCAUUCGUCUCAGCCACCAGAUGGCAGAGUAUCUUCCAGCUGAGAAUAUGGAACAAAAUGGCCAGGUUUUGGAAUAAAUUCUUCCUCGCCAUGAUCAUAAUCCUUAUAGUCCUCUUCCUCGAUGCUGUGCGUGAGGUGAGGAAGUAUUCGGGGGCGGGAAACAGCAAGGAUGCUAAUCUGCAUCCCAACAUGUUUGACAACCUCCACAUGAAGCUGUUCAGAGCCCAGAGGAACCUCUACAUCUCUGGCUUUUCCCUCUUUCUCUGGCUAGUGCUGAGGCGGGUGAUCACUCUGAUCAACCAGCUGGCGAUGGCGUCUAGCACCACAGCCUCUCUGCAGACCAAGGCAGAGAGUGAUAACCAAACUGCCAAGAAAUACAUGGAGGACAACGAGCUACUGAAGCAGACUCUGAUGGAUGGGAAGGGGAACAAGGCCACAGCAGAGGGAAACGAGCUGCUGAAAAAAGAGAUGGAGAAACUGAGAGGAGAACUGAAGGGCUCAGGGGAAGCCUUGAUAAAGUCCCAAUCCGAGAUGGAAGCUAUGAAGAAACAAUCCGAUGGACUGACCAAAGAAUACGACCGACUGCUGAAAGAACACCAGAAUCUUCAAGAGUGUGGAGACAAAAAGGAUGAUUGAUCGGGCUUAUGACUACAGCUGUCAGAACGUUUACAGAUUGUACCAAGAAACCAGAAAAAAAACACUGUCACGCACGCUAUCAUUUUCCUUUGACAUACUGAAGCACUCUGCAUGAUGUCACCAAAAUAAUCCUCCAAAGCACCACUGAGCUGGCAAACAUUAGAUAAAAAGCACCUGAGCACGUUUGUAAUAGAAUAGCUACUACACCAGCAUAGAAAUAUAUUUGCUGACUUUGAGAAUUUCAGUUGUGAAUGAAUGCCUGCCUGCAUGGCUGUACAAGCUUCAGAUUACAGUGGUCUUCUACUGUGAAUGUAUUUUUGAUGUAAUGGGCUUGCUAUGCUGUUUUAUCCCUGUAUAUGGCAAGAGUACCAUCGUUGCAUUCAUAUCCAUUUUGUUUCACCUUAGCAGUUAGGCAUAUUACAGAUUGAGUUGUAUGUGUUUUGUAAAACAAAAUUAGCAUUGAAUUAGUGGUAGAGAAGCUAUAUUGAGUUAUUUUUGUUAUUGAAUAUUUGAUAUCAAUGGUGAUGUUCUGUUUUUCAUUCCUCUUAGAUAUGAAGGGUUUGUGAAUAUUACACAGGGUCAUGAUUUUCUGUUUUGUAAUAAGGAUACUGAAACGGAAAAGUCUGAGCAAAUUCAUCAUUCCUCUUCUCACUCAGUCUCUGUAUUGACUGUCCCAGCCCAGGGGUUGGGUUGGGUAGACCAGGUCAGCACUUGGAGUGGGUAAUUGACCAACAAACUUCCUCCAGCCCCCAUCCCCUAAGUACUUAUCUCCUAUAGGGCCCCAGUACUGUAUAUCCCCCCUGUACUGUACUGACUGAAUUAGUGCCUUUCAGACCACUGUAGAGAUUUUCUCAUUGCGAGUACAAAAAUCUGCUUUGAGUAAGAAAGUGUUGCAAUAUUCCAGUAUUGCUCACUAUUAGUUGUUUUUGUUGCGAAAUACAUUUUUUUUGUUUGGAAAAAUUGUCUCCACAUACCAACAUGUUAUCCCAUAUUAAAAAUGUUUUACUGUUGUUUUACAAUUACAAGUUAUUCUCUGUUUUAAUCGAAGAAAUUAAACUAUUUUUUUAAGCGAG